AAGUCUUCGAUGGUGAUGCCUGUGCAGGCGGUUUUCACGCACUUGUAGAGGAUCUCCUGGGUGAUAGGCAGUUUGGCAGCAAGAAUCACGUUCAGCAGCGGUUGGACUUUGGCGAAUUGCUUCCUGCUGAACAGUCUUUGGCACAACCAGAGGUAGAGACCGUUCAGAGUGCCUGGUAUCUCGCGGACUUCUCGGAGGACGAUGAAGUUCUCAGCCACGCCGUCGAGAACCUUCUCCAGGUACAGGAAACAGCCGUUGCUCUUGAUGUGCAACUGGUUCAACAUCUCGGCCGUGUCGCACGAGAUGUGCUGCCUAUACGAACGAACGGAAACACCAUUGGUUCUUCAAGCUACAAUAGGCGACUCUACGGAAUAUCGCGCAGAGAAAUAAAAUCCCCAUUUACCUGAGCGCAUCUUCUUGAUCCAAUCGUGCAAGAAUGUACUGCUGAACGUCUCGGACCACGUGAGACUUCCUCAGAUCGUCCAACGAGAUCUUACGGAAUCCAGUGAACAUCCUCGAGAUCGUUUUACUCUGACGUCGAGCAGUACAAACCAGCAGCAACCAUUGUGGGAAGAGGUGGUGGUGGUUGGCCAACAGUUCAGCAAUUGUCCUACUAACGUUCUCAUUCUCCCUCCUAGAGUCUCUGGUGCCGGUCUGCGGAGGAUUCAACGUUUGUCCCUCGUCGAUGGAGUCGACCAACAAGAACAGACAGCUCUUCGGUGGCUCGACCUCCAACAGAGGGAACAGGAGCGCCUUCUUCAACGCGUCAUCGGGAUCUCUGUCGAGGACGUCCGGCUGCAGAGCUGCCUGUAUCUCUGGGUCCGUUCGGAGUUUCUCGGCGUAGGCUUCCGCCACCGCUUCCCUGGAAGUUAACGGGAUCGUGGAGGCGUUGGUGGUCGUCGUUGCGGUACUACCGGGUGUCGGCGAAUUUGGCGACGCUCUGCGAAGAACAAGACCGAACUCAACGAACAUCCUUUCGCGCGAUCUUCAUCGAAUCUGACUAGUUUGAAGGACAAAACAGGAUUUGAGGACAAUCGGAUGCGAAAGACGAGGACUCAGGUUCGAUAGGAAGUCGAACAUUGGCCACCAACCUGUGAAUCCCAUCCGAGCUAGCCUGCAGGAGCUGAGCAACCAGAGAUCUGACGAACUGCGCCGGCGACAAGGAAGCCUCGCUCCUGGCCUGGCAGAAGUGCCUGGCGAGUAGUCUCCUGUUCAAGGACCUCUGGUGCCUAGCGUUCGCGCUGGUGGACGGCCAGGCUAGCUCGGCGCAGAGCGCGGUCUUCCCGCUUCCCGGUCCACCAACGAUCAAGGCGCCGCAGGUCUUCGAGGCUGGCCUCUGCUCCAGGCAAUGGGACAGCUUGACGAACGCCCAUUCGCGGCAGAAGAACCGUUUCUUCUCGAUCACCGGCGCCGCCAUUCUCGGGCUCUUUGACUCCCUCGUUUUUAACACUUAACCGAUAAACUGAAUACUAGUAACUGGCGAUAUUACUCUUCGUUGCUCGUCAAGGUUCUGUACAUCUCGAUCUCCGGGGAGAUCGCCGGUGUCAUAUCAAAGUUCUCGAUAGUUUGCGUCGAAGUAGGUCGUGCCGUCCGGAGGAAAGAAGUGAUCAGGCCGUUGGUAGACGAUCCUCUAUGCCGAGAUUGGUAUUCUAGGCGGUCGGCCUUCAGGCUCUCUGUUCGGAUACGUGUGUGCUCACCGGAUCGACACCAGGAUUUUCGAAGCCGGGCGGAGGAAUAGCGACCCAGCCGAGUCUAGAUCAGCCGCGACGUGCCGCAACUAUGCUCGAUGUCCGUAUACUCUGACGAGGAGACGUUGGUCGGAGCCCCCGGGGGCUCUGAGGCUUCCUCGGCCUCCAUUCAGCCUUCUCAUCGCCUCGCCGCGGACCAGCACCGCGUUUCGUAUCGCUGCAUUCUACCUGGAACAUCGGAAACAAUAACGGUUUUAUUAGACCCUGCGGGACGUCGCGAGACCUUUUCAUUUCUAUUACACGGGGGACACCUUGAUUGGUACACCCCCUUCGAGGAGACACCUCGAAUCCGGAAUUAAGAGAGAACCGGUCUACCUAACGUAAUUAAACGAACCUCCGUUAGUUCCCUCGGCAAGGAUUUGCAUUGUAAGUGCGCCAGAUAAUAUUGGUUACUCGAGCAAGUUUCACCCGAAAGAAGUUGUACGAACGAAGCGACGCGUCGUUGGCAUAAACUUGUGGAAGCCAACGAUGAAUUCGCAGUCUUCCUUAACAUGAAAUAAUUACGAGAAAAGAACGAUUGUUGUAAUACUACGUUUUAAAGUUUGUUUAUAGCUCUGUAUAUAUUGUCUGAAAUUACAUAGAAGCAUUACCAAUUACGACAGCAAUUAGUGAACGGUAGAAACUUACAAGUACACAGAGCAUUCUUACAAUGCGGAAUGUCAUAGCCGAAGGAACAAGCUUUCCCCCCGACUUCGGCGAAAGAACCUAUGCGUAAAAGAUCCGCGCAGACUGCGAACUUAGUUUUAUUAUCUCAAAGCAAAAGCGAACUGUUAUGAUAAACUUGCGAUGUUGGUUUUCCAUUCGCGCGAUGGUUCCCGGUGUUAUUUACGAUUCAACGGGGUUCGGUGUCCUCAUCCGAAAGCGAACCGUUUAAUACGAAUUCUUCGCGGGACGAAAGUGAAAUUCUGUCGCGCCUGAUGGAAAUCUCGAAUUCCGCAGCGGAGCUUCUCGCGACGUAGCCGACGAUCUAACAUUCGCAUUAAAUGGCCGUAAUAAUUGUCUGUCCGCAGGAGAAAGAGAAAGAGAGAGAGAGAGAGAGAGAGAGAGAGAGAGGAGAGAGAGGGAGGCGGGGAAGAUGGAAUUAGUAGAAGGACUGCAGACGAGCGAGAACCGAGGACGGGUUAAUGACAAACUAGUUCCACUAAUGAGAAGGAAAUACGCACGGAUCCCGGUGGCGGACUUUUCUAAUUAUUAACGUUGUUUACGCACGGUCCUGUGGGAUCCAUGGAAACUCGACUACUACCAUGGACAAACGGCACAUGCACGUGAUAUACGAAGCAGUAACGUGGAAAGAACAUGGAAAGACCGAAAGGACCCAGGCAUGAUAUUUUGAUGUAACUCAAACUGUUAAGAGACGAGAUACAAUCUUAUUCAGCUCUCACUUCUUACAAUUUUGUGCGAAGAUUUUUAUUUCGCAGAAAGUUUCGCGGUCUAAUCAACGGUGCACUAAUUAUCGUGAAAAGAGACAAUGUUUCCGUAUAAUUCUGGAAACUUUUUAGAUUCGGACGAAUUAAGAAGGAAUUCUUAUAUUUCGAAGAGCAUUCGAGGUCGUUGAGAAUUCAAACAAAUUCCUGGAAUUUCUGUUAAUUCCCAAGUGUUAAUUAAACAGUGAAUUAUCGAUGCCAGUGUAACGAGCGCAGAUUUUAUGCAUUUAUGGCAAAACUGGAAAAGUGCAAUUUGAAAUACCAAGAAGAUUGAAACAAUAUAAAAGUGGCAAUAUAUUUUACAUUUUUACCUAGUAUUAAAAUCACAGAAGAAAAAAAUUUCAAAGUGGUUAUUGUUACUUGUUGUGAGCGUAAAACCUUUUUAUGUUAUAUAAAGAUCGGCGGAUUGGUAAUGAGAGAGAAAUCGAUCGAUGGAGCCGCGAAUGGUCGUGGACGGUGAAAUAGGAAGGUCCCGGCUUCCUGUACACUGUACGAGAUCGGAAGCCGUUCAAUCUCGAUGGAUCAAGACGUAUCCCAGGACCGAAUCUGCAACAUCUGUACAAGCUUAUUCGUGUUGGAUGAUAAGCCGGGAUACCGGUGGCAACGGAACGACACCGACGAGAUUGGGGUUGCACCGAGUCCCCGAGGUCGUCUAUCCGCCGUGAAUUUAAUGAACGGAGUGCAUCGUCGCGGGCUAGACAUGCCGCUGUCCAAAUACGGGGACACCACUGUUCUACCUGGCAGCCUCAAGUGGGUCAAGCCUGCCUUGGCUUCGCUUUGUAUGAAUUUUAAACAGCCGCGCAGCUGGAUCAGGGCUUUUGCAACAUUUAUGCCCGGUCGCGCGCUCCUCCAACAUCCCCACGGACGGAUGUUAUAAUACCUUCUUCAACGGGCCGGCUGGAUGCUAAGAAAAUCCUAUCGGAGCUAAAUACUUGGCUCGGUGCUAAUUAGAAGAUGUCGGACGACCGAUCGAAAAAGUUCCAAAUAGAAGAUGCUGCCACGGAAUUUAAUACUCGGACAUUCUUGACAAAACUAUAACUGCGUUCACUUAGGGUCAUCAACCUUUUGUACUCGGAGACAUUUUAAUUCUGAAUCCAAACUAGUUCGACUUGUAUUUAUAUUUUAUAUGUCUCGUUAUAUUUUAUGUAUAUGAAAUUGAGUCUUGUGACUUAUGCCAUAGUUAUACUAUUGUAUAUGUAAUUGUAUUUUAUGUAGACUAUUGUAUGAGUUACACCAUUAUAUGUGUGUGUAACAAUAGCUAUAUGAUAUGUAUAAUUGUGUAUAUUUAUACAUAUUUUAUUUUUAUGUUCACAUAUAUACUCCACUAAUAUAGUAAAUGAUUAAGAAUCGAAAUAUAUGUAUAAAUCAUUUUUA